rnacentral:rRNA from 1 species
CCUACGGGGGGCUGCAGUGGGGAAUAUUGGACAAUGGGCGAAAGCCUGAUCCAGCCAUGCAGCGUGUGUGAAGAAGGCCUUCGGGUUGUAAAGCACUUUCAGUGGGGAAGAAAGCCUUGGGGCUAAUACCCUCGAGGAAGGACAUCACCCACAGAAGAAGCACCGGCUAACUCCGUGCCAGCAGCCGCGGUAAUACGGAGGGUGCGAGCGUUAAUCGGAAUUACUGGGCGUAAAGCGCGCGUAGGCGGUCUGAUAAGCCGGUUGUGAAAGCCCCGGGCUCAACCUGGGAACGGCAUCCGGAACUGUCAGGCUAGAGUGCAGGAGAGGAAGGUAGAAUUCCCGGUGUAGCGGUGAAAUGCGUAGAGAUCGGGAGGAAUACCAGUGGCGAAGGCGGUCUUCUGGACUGACACUGACGCUGAGGUGCGAAAGCGUGGGUAGCAAACAGGAUUAGAUACCCUUGUAGUC